UACGUAGGGUGCAAGCGUUGUCCGGAAUUAUUGGGCGUAAAGAGCUCGUAGGCGGUCUGUCACGUCGGCUGUGAAAACCCGAGGCUCAACCUCGGGCCUGCAGUCGAUACGGGCAAACUAGAGUACUGCAGGGGAGACUGGAAUUCCUGGUGUAGCGGUGAAAUGCGCAGAUAUCAGGAGGAACACCCGGUGGCGAAGGCGGGUCUCUGGGCCACUGACUGACGCUGAGAAGCGAAAGCAUGGGGGAGCGAACAGG
rnacentral:rRNA from 1 species